AGUGAACGCUGGCGGUAGGCCUAACACAUGCAAGUCGAACGGCAGCACAGUAAGAGCUUGCUCUUACGGGUGGCGAGUGGCGGACGGGUGAGGAAUACAUCGGAAUCUACUUUUUCGUGGGGGAUAACGUAGGGAAACUUACGCUAAUACCGCAUACCACCUACGGGUGAAAGCAGGGGAUCUUCGGACCUUGCGCGAUUGAAUGAGCCGAUGUCGGAUUAGCUAGUUGGCGGGGUAAAGGCCCACCAAGGCGACGAUCCGUAGCUGGUCUGAGAGGAUGAUCGGCCACACUGGAACUGAGACACGGUCCAGACUCCUACGGGAGGCAGCAGUGGGGAAUAUUGGACAAUGGGCGAAAGCCUGAUCCAGCCAUGCCGCGUGGGUGAAGAAGGCCUUCGGGUUGUAAAGCCCUUUUGUUGGGAAAGAAAAGCAGCAGGUUAAUACCCCGCUGUUCUGACGGUACCCAAAGAAUAAGCACCGGCUAACUUCGUG
rnacentral:rRNA from 1 species